UACCAGCACCCCGAGUGGUCGGGACGAUUAUUGGGCCUAAAGCAUCCGUAGCCGGUCCUGCAAGUCUUCCGUUAAAUCCAGCUGCUCAACAGAUGGGCUGCGGGAGAUACUACAGGGCUAGGAGGCGGGAGAGGCAAGCGGUACUUUAUGGGUAGGGGUAAAAUCCGCUGAUCCAUAGAAGACCACCAGUGGCGAAGGCGGCUUGCCAGAACGCGCUCGACGGUGAGGGAUGAAGCUGG
rnacentral:rRNA from 1 species